AACGCGAAGAACCUUACCUGGGUUUGAAAUGUAAGAGACAGGUGCAGAAAUGCACUCUCCCUUCGGGGCUCUUAUGUAGGUGCUGCAUGGCUGUCGUCAGCUCGUGUCGUGAGAUGUUGGGUUAAGUCCCGCAACGAGCGCAACCCUUGCCAGUAGUUGCCAUCGGGUAAUGCCGGGAACUCUGCUGGGACUGCCGGUGUUAAACCGGAGGAAGGUGGGGAUGACGUCAAGUCCUCAUGGCCCUUAUGUCCAGGGCUACACACGUGCUACAAUGGUCGGUACAAAGGGCUGCCAAGCCGCGAGGUGGAGCUAAUCCCAAAAAACCGAUCUCAGUUCGGAUUGCAGUCUGCAACUCGACUGCAUGAAGUCGGAAUCGCUAGUAAUCGUGGAUCAGCAUGCCACGGUGAAUACGUUCCCGGGCCUUGUACACACCGCGAGC
rnacentral:rRNA from 1 species